UGGAUCGUUAGAUGCAACCAUCAUAGGGGAUACAAUAGAGGCAUUACUGGAAACUAAUGCCAAUGCCAUAAUGGACCACGUUUGAAAGGUAAAACUUAAAUUGUAACAUCCUCCAAUAAUGCUUUCUUUAAAAUGCUAUGACACAAUAUUGAAACAUAUAUUUGAUCUACCAUAGGAACCAAAUAUAGAACUCAACAAAGUCAUGAAAAUCGAGAGUGGAACAGAACUAUUCUUUUACGUGAAGGUGACAGAGAAGCGCCACAACCCACCUGAAUCUCACUUUGAAAUCAUAUUUAUAUUCAACUUGUUCAAAGCAAUCACUGAUAGCAAUGCUUAAUAUGCAAUGACUGAAAUAAAUCCUUUAACUGCCAUAAGUGAUGUGAACAACUCAUUUUAAAUGAAAGAGAGCUUAGACAACAAAAUUAUAAAAGUCAAAAACAAGAUUUGCAGUCAAGCCAGUGAAGUUUCCACAGACACUAAAGAGGUCACUUCAUAGAAUGCAAAAAAGGUCUCUCUUCCAACCAUCAAAUGUAGCUAUUGAAAUAGACUCAAAACCUAAAAAGAAGACCUACACAGGCUACAAAAUCGAUGACCAAACCAAUACUCUCAUCUUGAAAGAAAAAUGUGAGUGAAGACCAUCUACAUUAAUUUUGUAACAAAAGGAAGUCAUGCAACGUAUUUCUUCUAUAGCUAUGAAAGAAGGGGCGAAAAAUGUUCAGGAACCUAAUGGUAAGUCUAUUUGUAAGUCUCCCGAAUAGCAAUAAAUUACUAUGACAUUAAGAGGUUCUUUUAAAUAUUUUAAUUUCGUAUUUAUCCUUCCGAUACGUACACUGUGAACUAUGAUCGGAUCAUACUAAUAUAAUUACUACAAAUAACAUGUGAAACUUGGAUUCAUCAUUAAAAAAUAGACUUAAGUUGCAUACUUCAUCCUAAACAUCAUAAUUAUGUUAACACUAUUAUCAUCUAUUAAACACAUGUUUCCUAUCAUUAGUAUAUUGAACAAUUCCAUUCAUAGCUUAAUAUCAUAAAUAACGUGCCUCAUUUUAUGACCUUUAUAACUUAUUGAUUUCUUC
rnacentral:lncRNA from 1 species